GUAGAAGAAAAGCUUAAUGUUGGACUACCCUCAAUCGGCUCCUUGAUGCAGAAGAUAUAUCACCUUAGCAUGUGCAGAGGUUCCAACAGGCAGCACUAGCAUUUCUGGUUUGCUGAACUACUUCCAUGCCAGAGACCCCAAGAGCAUGAUCAGCUCAGCGAGGAGUUCCUGAAAUAUCAAUUGAUGGACAUCCCCAAGCCUCAACACCCAGCCACUUUCAACAUUGUGGGUUUUGGGGGGAAUAUGUCAUCAAUGAAGACUAGGAUGGCCACCCAUCAAGAGCAAGGUUCUGUCCAAGGUUUCCUUGUCACUGUCACAACCAAAUGCAUGCUCUUGGGGGAAUUUUUGGGUCUCUG